rnacentral:misc_RNA from 1 species
GUCACGAUUUUCAAAAUGUAGCAAGUAUUUAUAUGGAUCGCGAGUAUAAAGAUGUGCAUUUCGUUUACGAAUUGUGUGUCUCUAAGUUCUAGAAGUGUCGUUAGAAAACAUCAUGAAUCAUUCAACUUUAUACUGAUAAAAGCGGAUGAUACAUCGAAAUAUACACAUUUAUAAAAAAGGAUUUUCCAGAAAUAAUUUCAGUAGAGAGAACAAGACCAAUCGUUUGCAAUAUAAGGCACGGCGAAUAUCUGUACAUAAGACGGUGGUAUGCAACAAAAUGCGUGAGCUUUGCAAAAUGAAUGGAUGUUGUAUCAGCAAUUUCAGCGAGGUUGCACGUCGUUCGUAGCCUCAUCGAAAACAGUCGCCCGUGCUCUCCGCGAAAUUCAAGAUCGAUCGAUCAUCGGAUUCUUUCAGAAAGAAACGGUAUAGUUCUUGGGCCGCAUCCAUCAUGGCCAAGUCAAAAAUCCGACGACAAAAGGGCGUUGAAUUUCAUGACACGGAUGAACAGUCAGCUCUCUAUGAUUCACGUGGAUGAGUUUUCAGCAAAUGUCCUUACUGUGAUAGCAUAGUAAUGCGAUUCCGAUGUUGAACAUCUUUCAAUAGAAAUCGAUCGGUCCCUUGUUUUUAAAAUCAUGCGAGCUUGUUGUUGCUUCAUCACGUUCGCACGAUUAUCGUUACUGCUUUUGACUAAUAUUUAUAUCGUGAUGGACAACUAUUAACAUAUAGAAUCUAAAGUAUACAAUGACUGAUCCAUGUACAUAAACGUAACUCAUCCUCAAACUAGCAAUAAAUGAAGGUUGUUCAUGUAAAUAUUGCGCGAUUUGAAAAAAGAUAAUUCUGUCUUAUAACUGUCUCUCUUAAAAUCACCCGUUGAAAACAUUUAUUAAGAACUAUUUAUCUUGUGAAUUGACUGCGGACUUUUGUGCAAAUUCGUAUUUCUAAAAAUAUAAUUAAAAAAAUAAAAUUUCAGUAGAAAAUUAUUUUACCUACCAAGUAUUAUAGCAAGCACAGUACUUUGGAUUUUUAUAUUAUCUACAUUGCAUGUAGUUUUUCACUUUCAACUUUCGUAUAAAUGCAUAAAAAUCCAC